GGCUCGAACCCACGAACUGUGAGCUUGUGACCUGAGCCAAAGGCGGACGCUUAACCGACUGAGCCACCCGGGCACCCCGCGUCUUCUUUCUGACAACAAAUAACGUGUGGCUUUUCCACACUACGACCAAUUCUGUACUCUCUGAAACCAACCCUGUGUCCCAUAAUUCAAUCCUAUUCUGACGCUAACGACCCAGAGUUAGUGUCAGACCCCCCAGGUCACAGGGCUCAGUCCCACAAGACCACCCCCACUCCACACACCAGUCACAAGUCCUGACUGACUGGCUGUAAAUCAUGAGUUCUCACAGCCUCCUCUCAGGUGCAAUAAUUCCACAGAACGACUAACAGAACUCAGAGAAACACUUUAUUUAUGUUCACCAGUUUAUUAGAAAGGACGCGACCGAUGGAAGAGACGCUCAGGGACCUUCCAGAAGCACCCACAGCAGCCCUUCACCCGCAACACCAGACACAGACUCCAAGGUAAAUGGAAGAGAAAUGGAGUCCAGGGAGAGCUCAGCUGUGGUCCCAGCUCCCCGGUUACUGGCUUUGUGAACGUGGCCACGUCACUGAACCACUGAGCCUCAUUGCCCUGCCUCUGCAACAUCUAUAAUCUGAUUACCUUCCAGAAACCAAUGAGGAUGGGCACGAAGGUACUUUGUAAACUGCCAGGUCUUAUGGAAAGGUGAGAUGUUGGAAGUACCUAUCUUGGGAGGUGUCAGUUAACAGUCUUCUUUGUAAAUGUUCUCAGGACAAGGGCUAGGGCGACUUCCCCCAGUCACUGUGUCAUAAGUGCCCGGAAAGUCCUUCCUAGCAUCCACUUGAGUUGCUUCUGAAGCAUCUCACAUCUCACGUCAUCAGGGGAACUGAGCACGCUGUCCCGUGACAAGUUGUCCCGACUGUCUGUGUGCAUGAACUGUGCACAUGUCCCCCGGUGGGAGAGUGAGCGUGGCCGGGACGGGAGGAGGGCGGGACUCUGGUAGGGUCUCCCCUCUGAGGCCUGGACCGCAGGGAGCAGUGCAGCACCUCCGUUGCCUAACGAGCCACAGAGCGAGGUCUCUCUCCUUCCUCCCUCAGAAGGAAAGUCACCUGAGCAGCUUUGGCCGGUUUGCAAAUCAGUGGGUGUGAAAACGCACCCAGAUCUCAGGUUAUGAAGUGGGUCAUUUUCAACUGUGCAAUUUGUACCCAAUGACCUUGUAGCCUCCCCGAAGAUGGGGUACCUUCUCACCUCCUCCCUCCAACCUAAUCUGCAUCUGAUGUGCUGGCGGAUCUCAGACUCAUCUGCACCUUUUGGAGCCAUUUCCUUCCACUUAGGAGUAAAUGGUGGGGCCAGGGAGCAUGCUGAUGGGAAUGGCACUCACCCAGGGGUGGCCCUUCUUUCUCUUGUGCCCUUCUAGGACCUUGCCUGGCACACAGGGAGGCCCCAGUGCACCGAGCUUUGCAGCCUGCCUCUGUCUGCACCCACAAUGCAAUCACACAACCUGUCUGUGAGCAUAAAAACGGGUUUUCUCUUCUAAUGACUCCCUUAACUGAGCUGGUGGCUGCCCUCCCUCAGGGCCCCGUGGGUAAGAGCACGGGAGAAAGACGGGCCCCUUGCCUCCGCAUCCCUCGGCCCCUCCUCCCCUCCGUCUCUUGGAAGCAGAGGGGCACAGAUGGACACAUUCCUUGAAUGGGCCCAGCGCGGGGAACAGGGGAGAGUACGCUGAACGACAGGAGGUGGGAUGCACGGUCCCCACGGGGCUCCCCCUCUCCUGCCAGCCCCAUCUCGGUUCCAUUAACCUUGCUCCGCAUGUGCUGUGUUAAUGGGCUGGGAAGGACGGAUCACCCUGCUCGCCUACAGAAAGGAGCAGCUGCUACAUGUUGCCAACCUCCACGGCGGCUGGGAGGGCGGGACUCAGGGCCCAGGCGGCCCUGGCUUGUGACCUGGCUCCCCGCUGCACCCCUCACCCCUGCCCCAGGGCGAUGUGAAGGGUGAAGGGCAGCCUGAUGCUGACAGACCUGGAGGAAAAGUCCUCCCUUGAUCCUCGGAGCCCCUCCUCAACAGCUAGGGAGACUCCAUAAUGUCAACUUCCUAAGUGCAGUAAAAGGGUCUUUGACUAAGCGUCCCUUCUAUUAACUCUUCCACUCCCGCCCGGUGGGCCUCGUAAUUCACUCAUAGGCUUGCGAGGAAGAGGAAGCCGUGAGGCAGGUUUCACGGAAGCAGGAGGACAAGCAAUGUGGCAAGUUGAAUGUCACAGGCUCGAGUGGUGCAGAGACCCAGCACUGGUGAUGCCUCCAUGGCUGAGGAUGGGCACGAAGGUACUUUGCAAACUGCCAGGUCCUAUGGAAAGGUGAGGUGUUGGAAACACCUGUCUCGGGAGGUGUCGGUUCUAUUUGUAAAUGUUCUCGGGGAAGGGCAAAGGUGGCUAGAAAUCUCCCAGAGAUUUCUCCUUGCCACAUUUCACAGUGCUAUCCCCGAGUGGGGCUAGACCCAGUCUUGUGAAUCGAGGCAGGAUCGCAGCGUCAAUGGACAAGGAAAGAAUAAAGCCAUGGGCAUGGGAGGGAGAAGUGAGAAGCCACAGAAGAGAAGGCAGAUGAGUCCUUUGGGUGGUAGAGUCUGGAAAGAAAAGAAGUGCUGGCCUUUGGGGGGCCUUGGGGAACCACCCUGGACCCCUCCCCUCCCCCCACAUCACCUCGUCUUCCUGCCUAAGCCUCAUGCCACAGCUCCUGUCCUGGAAUGUUGUCCUGAAUAUCUUUGCAGUAAAUCUCCAUGUUCUGGACAGACUCUAGAUAAGCUGGGGGAAAUAGCCCAGGGUUUCCCCAUUUUACCUGAUUAAAAAUCACAUGGGCAGUUUGUUAAACCUACAGAUUCCUGGGUUCUUUCCCAGACCAAAGAGCAGGAUCUCCAGGAUGGAUCAGUACGUGCACUUUUUACCAACACCCAGAGUGGGUCUUACAGCAAGUUUGGGAAACAUUGGCUUACUCCCGUCCCCCUUAAUUCAUCCAUGAAAGAUGGCUGAGUUAAAUGAGCACAGCCACACUGCUUAAAAAAGAGGGGGAAAUGCCCAUCUGGGGGUGCAGCCGGGCCAAAAAGGAGACUGCACAAAUUUCUUAGCCCUUCUUUUCCUCCCUAGCCCCAAGGCAGGAUAUUCUAACAGUUGGAGCAGUUUCCCCGAGGAUGGAUGUGAUAUCCGGGCCCCUUCCAGGACCAUAAAUUAACUGCCACUGGGUUACCAUUUUCCUCUGCCUCUGUGGUAAUAGAAUUUUCAGCUGAACAACAUAACAGCCGGAAUUCCAGCCUCCCUUUCAGCUUUACGUGGCCACACAACGAAACCGUGGCCAAAGGGAUGUGAGUAAAAGUCACGUAGGCAACUUAUGGGUCAAGGCUGGUAGAAAAGAUGAGGAAGUGAAGACACCGGGCCGCUGAGCGUCUCGCCAAGUAUUCCUGCCGGUGCAAGGGGGGGCUCGGCCCCUCCCCUCCAGGUGUCCAGGGCAGGCGCGCAUUUCUCCCAUCCUAUCGCGAUCCAUUACGGUUCCUGCUACUGAUCUCUCUGGGAGCUCAGAUCUGUCUUCAGUCGGGAACUCACAAAGCCUUGUUGUCAGUGGUGUGGAAGAAAUUCAGUUAGAAGCGUCCCCAAGUACAUCUCUGGACCCAUCCUUGACGGGCAGGAGGUUACAUGUAUGCAGUUGUCUCCUAACCAGACCGUAAGCUCCAUGACGAAAGGGUUUGGAUUCCCACAUCUGAAACGGUGCCAGCAUCCAGGCGCAGAAUAGGCUCUCGAUAUUUACUUCAUCACACCCCAGCGCAAGCUUCCCAUUGGUCACACGUCUCCCUGAUAGGCCCCUGCGCCGAAACGCCCCGUGCCCUUUGGCACCCACGAUCAUGGCGGAGGCAUCCACCCUCCAUCUUGUCAAACAGCUGUCACACCUUGACAGCAGAUGGCCUUGGCAAUCUUGGCAAUCCAGCCGGACAAGUUUCUACCUGAACUUUGGCUCAGCCAGUGCCUGGAUGGAGGAGUCAGAAAGGAGACCUAGAAAGGAAAGUACCUUCUGUUUUCUCAUUCCCAACCGCACAGGGCUGGGGGAAAGAGAUAUGCUAAUGGCCGUGGGGAAACACCAGUGGGAAUACGCCUGCUUUGGACAGAUAGGAGCUAGGGUCCCCCACUCAUCACCUUGCCUCCAAGUAUGCCUGCACACAACUCACCUGCGACAGACCUGUUCUUCCACAGCCCCCAGACAGGAAGCUCUCUGAUAUCAUAUCUAUCUGCCACGUUCAGUCCCUCCCCAUGGGCAACGCCACAGGGGUGGGGAAAUCCAACAAUCUGAUGAUUCUCUCCAGGGGCUCGGGAUGGAGCAAAGCAUCAGUUCUCAGCCCAGCUUCUCAAAUGUAUGUGUUGUUACUGCUGCUAUUUUCAAGGACCUGCUCUAUUUACGCCUCACUCCUCGUUGCUCCUCCUAGGACAAGAGAACUGAAUAAAUAAAGAAGGCAGGCUUAACCCCUCCCUUGGCAGGGAUAGGAAUUUGCCAGAGUCGAGUGGGAGCAGAAAGUCCGCAAGACACAUACCUUGGGCCCACAAAAUGCUUUAUAUUUGGCAAAGCAUUUGCUCAUGUAAGCCCCGCAGCUGUGAGACACGAAGUCCAUGUUACAGGUACGAACACAGAGGCGAGGCCAAGGCCACGAAGGUUGCUCUAAGCCAUCUUUCGUCUCCUCGUCACCCGGGUUCUCGGUGCCUGGAGAGCAGGAGAAGAGAAACAGUGGUGCUAAAGGGCCCCACCACUGGCGGCCUGUCGCUGAGGCUCCCGUGUCCUGCUCUCCCUCCCCUCUGUGAGGGCUGGGGCGGAUAAAGGGCCCGCGGAGCCAAUCCUAUGUGCCAACUUGACUGGGCCAUGUGUGCGGUGCCCAGACAGUUAGUGGAACAUUAUCCUGGGUGUGUCUGUGAGGAUGUGUGGAGAGGAUUUACCAUCUGAAUGGAAACAUCGGCUCCUCCUGGGCCUGAAGCCCUAGCCGAAAGGCGCCGCCAGCUUCCCCGCGGCACCAGCUGGCCCACUCCAGAUCUUGGGACUUGUCAGCCUCCAUAAUCACGUGGGCCAGCUCCUUGGCGUAAUUCUCUUUCCAUUUCGAUGUAUCUAUAUCUACACCUAUUGGUCGUUUCUCUGGAGAAUCCUGACUCACACAGAGCCCCGGACGGGCUCUGAACGGGAAGAUGAGCUACAAAGCCAGGCUGGGCCGAGGCAGGCGGGGACCUCCCAUCCUGGCAUCCAUCAAGAAAGGAAGUGUUAUUAAAAUUUUAAAAAAAGAAA